GGAGUCGGGACUCCUUAUCUUCUCAGCCCUCUUCUUCCUACUGUUCCCAUUGGUGCAUGGAGGACACCAAACCUCCCAAGAUGCUGACCUCCUGCCUGCCCUGCCCAAUCUGCUCUCCCUCCAGUGCCCAGGCCCAGCAUCCACUUAGUCACAUGGCCAGUCUCAUGGGUAGACAGGGCCAUGUCACUGGCCUGAGUGAGGCUGAGCAUCACUUCCAAGGGCCACUGGCUGUGACCCGGGUGGCACCCAAGGUGGGCGGUUGGUAGCCCCGCUCACAAGGUCAGGUCAGGAGCCCAUGGGGGUGUGAGCACUCAGUGCAGACCCCACCCGUGGGCUGGACAGAGGCCACUGGACCUGGGACCUGGGUGCUGGGGAAAGAUGAAUGGAUGUGGGAGAGAUAAGGCCCAGGAGGAGGGCAGGCCUCCACCCAGGACCGGCCAGGCCUUAUGCUGAGCUGUCUGGCCCCAGGCGAGGUGGAGG